AGCAGCCGCGGUAAUUCCAGCUCCAAUAGCGUAUAUUAAAGUUGUUGCAGUUAAAAAGCUCGUAGUUGAAUUUCGGGGUUAGUAGGUUGGUCAUGCCUCUGGUAUGUACUGGUCUCACUGAUUCCUCCUUCCUGAUGAACCUUAAUGCCAUUUAUUUGGUGUUUUGGGGAAUUUGGACUGUUACUUUGAAAAAAUUAGAGUGUUUAAAGCAAGCUAACGCUUGAAUACAUCAGCAUGGAAUAAUGAAAUAGGACGUUCGAUCCUAUUUUGUUGGUUUCUAGGAUUGACGUAAUGAUUAAUAGGGAUAGUUGGGGGCAUUAGUAUUCAAUUGUCAGAGGUGAAAUUCUUGGAUUUAUUGAAGACUAACUACUGCGAAAGCAUUUGCCAAGGAUGUUUUCAUUAAUCAAGAACGAAAGUUAGGGGAUCGAAGACGAUCAGAUACCGUCGUAGUCUUAACCAUAAACUAUGCCGACUAGGGAUCGGAUGAUGUUAAUUUUUUAAUGACUCAUUCGGCGCCUUA
rnacentral:rRNA from 1 species